rnacentral:tRNA from 7 species
GUCCAUCUAGCUCAAUUGGUAGAGCACAAGGCUGUGAACCCUGUGGUCGUGGGUUCAAGCCCCACAGUUUGCA